rnacentral:rRNA from 1 species
GACGGAGGAUGCAAGCGUUAUCCGGAAUUAUUGGGCGUAAAGCGUCCGCAGGUGGACAUACAAGUCUGCUGUCAAAGUGCAGAGCUUAACUCUGUAAAGGCGGUGGAAACUGAAGCGCUAGAGUGCGGUAGGGGUAGAGGGAAUUCCCGGUGUAGCGGUGAAAUGCGUAGAGAUCGGGAAGAACAUCGGUGGCGAAAGCGCUCUACUGGACCGCAACUGACACUCAGGGACGAAAGCUAGGGGAGCGAAUGGG